GAUGAACGCUGGCGGCGUGCCUAAUACAUGCAAGUCGAGCGAACAGAUAAGGAGCUUGCUCCUUUGACGUUAGCGGCGGACGGGUGAGUAACACGUGGGUAACCUACCUAUAAGACUGGGAUAACUUCGGGAAACCGGAGCUAAUACCGGAUAAUAUUUCGAACCGCAUGGUUCGAUAGUGAAAGAUGGUUUUGCUAUCACUUAUAGAUGGACCCGCGCCGUAUUAGCUAGUUGGUAAGGUAACGGCUUACCAAGGCGACGAUACGUAGCCGACCUGAGAGGGUGAUCGGCCACACCGGAACUGAGACACGGUCCAGACUCCUACGGGAGGCAGCAGUAGGGAAUCUUCCGCAAUGGGCGAAAGCCUGACGGAGCAACGCCGCGUGAGUGAUGAAGGUCUUCGGAUCGUAAAACUCUGUUAUUAGGGAAGAACAUACGUGUAAGUAACUGUGCACGUCUUGACGGUACCUAAUCAGAAAGCCACGGCUAACUACGUG
rnacentral:rRNA from 1 species